rnacentral:rRNA from 1 species
AAUCAACGCUGGCGGCGUGCCUAACACAUGCAAGUCGAGCGGGAAAGGGGGCUUCGGCCCCUGAGUAUAGCGGCGGACGGGUGAGUAACACGUGGGUAAUUUGCCCUUGGGUGUGGAAUAACUCAGGGAAACUUGAGCUAAUACCGCAUGACAUCCCCUUCUCACAGGAGUUGGGGAUCAAAGCCGGGGACCCUUCGGGGCCUGGCGCCUGGAGGAGAAGCCCGCGCCCGAUUAGCUAGUUGGUGAGGUAAUGGCUCACCAAGGCUUCGAUCGGUAGCCGGCCUGAGAGGGGCGGACGGCCACACUGGGACUGAGACACGG